rnacentral:rRNA from 1 species
UACGUAGGGUGCAAGCGUUGUCCGGAAUUAUUGGGCGUAAAGAGCUCGUAGGCGGCUUGUCGCGUCGGAUGUGAAAGCCCGGGGCUUAACUCCGGGUCUGCAUUCGAUACGGGCAGGCUAGAGUUCGGUAGGGGGAUCUGGAAUUCCUGGUGUAGCGGUGGAAUGCGCAGAUAUCAGGAGGAACACCGGUGGCGAAGGCGGGAUCCUGGGCCAGUACUGACGCUGAGGAGCGAAAGCGUGGGGAGCAAACAGG